GCCUGUGACCAAGAGUGAGUCCCCAAGGGACCAAGGGGCCUCAUGAAUUGUGAUCUACGUGCCCCCUUGAAAAACAGGCAGCUGGCUGGCCUGGCCCAUCCUUCGACAUCGCUUUCUCUGUAAUCAAUGCAUUUCAGGGUGACAGAGGACCACAUGCUACCUGCAGCCUCCCAGACGACAACUCAGCAGCUGCCUCUAGACGGAUACAUCCUGUGCCUUCACAGCCCACAAACCAAAACACUUGCACCAAUCUAGUGAGGGACAAGUCACUGGAAAGAUGUUGAUUUGGAGCAGCAGCAGCAGCACAAACAGGUCCAAACUGGUCCCAAUUGCUUCCAAGAAGGACUUGGGUAAAUAAACUGUGAUGCACUGAUGCUAUGGAAAACUAUGCGGCUGCAAGAAGGAGUCUCAUAACUAAGUGUGCAGACAUGGAAAAAAAAAACA